UGGGGAAUCUUAGACAAUGGGGGAAACCCUGAUCUAGCCAUGCCGCGUGAGCGAUGAAGGCCUUAGGGUUGUAAAGCUCUUUCAGCUGGGAAGAUAAUGACGGUACCAGCAGAAGAAGCCCCGGCUAACUCCGUGCCAGCAGCCGCGGUAAUACGGAGGGGGCUAGCGUUGUUCGGAAUUACUGGGCGUAAAGCGCACGUAGGCGGACUGGAAAGUUGGGGGUGAAAUCCCGGGGCUCAACCCCGGAACUGCCUUCAAAACUCCCAGUCUGGAGUUCGAGAGAGGUGAGUGGAAUUCCGAGUGUAGAGGUGAAAUUCGUAGAUAUUCGGAGGAACACCAGUGGCGAAGGCGGCUCACUGGCUCGAUACUGACGCUGAGGUGCGAAAGCGUGGGGAGCAAACAGG
rnacentral:rRNA from 1 species